rnacentral:rRNA from 1 species
AGAGUUUGAUCCUGGCUCAGGACGAACGCUGGCGGCGUGCUUAACACAUGCAAGUCGAACGGAAAGGCCCUGCUUGCAGGGUACUCGAGUGGCGAACGGGUGAGUAACACGUGGGUGAUCUGCCCUGCACUUCGGGAUAAGCCUGGGAAACUGGGUCUAAUACCGGAUAGGAGCCAUUUUUAGUGUGAUGGUUGGAAAGUUUUUUCGGUGUAGGAUGAGCUCGCGGCCUAUCAGCUUGUUGGUGGGGUAAUGGCCUACCAAGGCGGCGACGGGUAGCCGG